rnacentral:rRNA from 1 species
CCUACGGGUGGCAGCAGUGGGGAAUAUUGCUCAAUGGAGGCAACCCUGAUGCAGCGAUGCCGCGUGAGUGAAGACGUAUUUAGGUAUGUAAAGCUCUUUCAGCACGGAGGAAAAUGCCGGUACCUGAAUAAGAAGUCCAGGUUAACUACGUGCCAGACGCCGCGGUAAUACGUAGGGGGCAUGCGUUAUCCGGAUUUACUGGGUUUAAUGGGGGCGUAGACGGCAGCACAAGUCUGGAGUGAAAUGCCGGGGCUUAACCCCGGAACUGCGUUGGAAACUGUGCAGCUAGAGUGCAGGAGAGGUAAGAGGAAUUCCUGGUGUAGCGGUGAAAUGCGUAGAGAUUAUGAGGAACACCAGUGGCGAAGGCGGCUUACUGGACUAUAACUGACGUUGAGGCUCGAAAGCGUGGGGAGCAAACAGGAUUAGAUACCCUUGUAGUC